rnacentral:rRNA from 1 species
AACGAACGCUGGCGGCAGGCCUAACACAUGCAAGUCGAGCGAGGACUUCGGUUCUAGCGUCGGACGGGUGAGUAACGCGUGGGAAUGUGCCCUUCUCUACGGAAUAGCCCUGGUAAACUUGGAGUAAUACCGUAUACGCCCUAUUGGGGAAAGAUUUAUCGGAGAAGGAUCAGCCCGCGUUGGAUUAGGUAGUUGGUGGGGUAAUGGCCUACAAAGCCGACGAUCCAUAGCUGGUUUGAGAGGAUGAUCAGCCACACUGGGACUGAGACACGGCGCAGACUCCUACGGGAGGAAGCAGUGGGGAAUCUGAGACAAUGGGGGCAACCAUGAUCUAGCCAUGCCGCGUGAGUGAUGAAGGAGUGAGGGUUGAAAAGGUCUGUCAGAUGGGAAGAUAAUGACGGUACCAGAAGAAGAAGCCCCGGCUAACUCCGUG